AGAUAAAGGUCAGAAAAUUAAUCAUGCUUAGAAUAAAUCGAUAAUACAGAUUUUUACUCCGCCUAUGGCUAGCAGCCAGACCAGUUGAUUUUCCGAUUAUUCUACUCUUUGCUCGGUACCUACUUUAUCCCUACCACCGGUUUUUCAUUGAUAAAUCGCCGAUCGAUAGAAUUUGAACAAAUACGAAUGCCAAAAACAAAACGUUACUCAUUUGUUUCUGGGAUUUGGAACAUAAAAGUGUGACUGUGAGUGAAUCGAUCUCAGUGUUUGCAGUGCCGGAAAAAGUCACAACUGAUACAAAAAAUGGAUGAAUUUAAGAAGAAAUGUCGACAGUACAGUGUUGAUUAUUUGAAAUUUGAUUUGCUUCCAUCAACGUAUUACAAGAGGAGCUACUUGAGCUCAUCACCAACGAGGAACUGAAGGUGAAAUUUUAGAAAGGCUAACAAACAUUUUGGCUGCAGGCAGAAAUCCCCGUAAAAUAUGCUGGGCUAUGGAAAAUUGUGAGAAAAUUUUUGAUAGGGUUUCCCUCGUCCUAUCUUGUCGAAAGAAGUUUUAGUGUCGUUACCAACCUUUUAACAAAACAAUGAGCAUAUUGAACAUCACAGAACGGGGAGAUUUGAGAUUCCUUCUUACAAAACUGAAGACAAAUAUGGAUAAUUUGCUGCCAAUUCAUCAAGUACAUCCGUCUCAUUAAAAGUAUGACUAUGAGAAAGUAUUGUUAAUUUACAUUUCAGAGUUCAUUGUUGACUGUUUGUAUUAAUAAAUGUUUAUAAUUUUGCAUAA